GAACAUUGUGUCUUAUCAUAUCACUCAAUUUGCCAUCGGAUUUGGUGUGGACAGAUUGUUAAACAGACAUGCACCAGUUUUUUUUUUCAUUUUGUGUUUGUCGGUUUAAAAUCUGGUAGAUGCCUGUGUAGGUUACACGGAAUAUACACUAAAUGACGGAAAAGUGGGGAUGUGUUACAACAAAACAUGUCAAGGAAAAGUCGACGAUGCUCAAAGAGAGAAUUUGACAUUCACAAUCGUGGUGAAAUAUCCGGAGUCUGUUUUAUGGAACCACGGAAGAACAACAUUAUACAUUCGGGGCAAUGGCCUCUGUCUAAAAUGGAACAAGGGUAAACGUCUCUCAAAGAUUGGUUAUGAUACAUGGGGGAUAAACAUCACAUAUAAAUCGGUUGUAACCAAAUACCAAUGUCAAACACGUUCAAAACCCGUCUACCUUUCCUGGCAAUAAGCUUCAGUAUCGUGUACUGGCCGACGACUGCGGCGAUAUGGUGGGUGCUAACUUCUCCAUUAAUUUUCCAAUAUCUAAAACAUCUCUGUACUUUGUGGAGAAACCUGUUUUCGUUCCAUAACCAUGGUUUUAUCAGAAAACAGGUGUCAUAAGUAGUUUUUUGAUACAUUCUACGAACAUCGGCAAAGAGAGAAAUGUAACGAUGUAUACACCUCCUAGUUUUAAUGAAAUUACAUAUAAAACUUAUCCCGUGAUAUUCGUUCUGGAUCUCAGUCUACAUUUUGCUAAAUACUUCAAGAACAAGAGCUGUCUCCAUAGAAUGACACAUGCCCCCGAUGGCACUUUGAAUGAAUAGUUAUGGCUGAUGUUAGAGUUUAGGACCUUUGACCUAUGGACCUGGCUCUUGCG
rnacentral:lncRNA from 1 species